UACCCAUGACCAGGUUGAAGUUCAGGUAACACUGAAUGGAGGACCGAACCGACUUACGUUGAAAAGUGAGCGGAUGAGUUGUGGGUAGCGGAGAAAUUCCAAUCGAACCUGGAGAUAGCUGGUUCUCUCCGAAAUAGCUUUAGGGCUAGCCUCAAGUGAUGAUUAUUGGAGGUAGAGCACUGUUUGGACGAGGGGCCCUUAUCGGGUUACCGAAUUCAGACAAACUCCGAAUGCCAAUCAAUUUAACUUGGGAGUUAGAACGCGGGUGAUAAGGUCCGUGUUCGAAAGGGAAACAGCCCAGACCACCAGCUAAGGUCCCAAAAUAUAUGUUAAGUGGAAAAGGAUGUGGCGUUGCCCAGACAACUAGGAUGUUGGCUUAGAAGCAGCCAUCAUUUAAAGAGUGCGUAAUAGCUCACUAGUCGAGUGACACUGCGCCGAAAAUGUACCGGGGCUAAACAUAUUACCGAAGCUGUGGAUUGUCCGUAAGGACAAUGGUAGGAGAGCGUUCUAAGGGCGUUGAAGCAUGAUCGCAAGGACAUGUGGAGCGCUUAGAAGUGAGAAUGCCGGUGUGAGUAGCGAAAGACGGGUGAGAAUCCCGUCCACCGAUUGACUAAGGUUUCCAGAGGAAGGCUCGUCCGCUCUGGGUUAGUCGGGUCCUAAGCUGAGGCCGAUAGGCGUAGGCGAUGGAUAACAGGUUGAUAUUCCUGUACCACCAUAAUUCGUUUUAAGCGAUGGGGGGACGCAGUAGGAUAGGCGAAGCGUACGAUUGGAUUGUACGUCCAAGCAGUAAGACUGAGUGUUAGGCAAAUCCGGCACUCUUAAGGUCAAGCUGUGAUGGGGAGAGGAAAUUGUUUCCUCGAGUCGUUGAUUUCACACUGCCGAGAAAAGCCUCUAGCUAGAAUUGUGGUGCCCGUACCGCAAACCGACACAGGUAGUCAAGAUGAGAAUUCUAAGGUGAGCGAGCGAACUCUCGUUAAGGAACUCGGCAAAAUGACCCCGUAACUUCGGGAGAAGGGGUGCUCUUUAGGGUUAACGCCCAGGAGAGCCGCAGUGAAUAGGCCCAAGCGACUGUUUAUCAAAAACACAGGUCUCUGCUAAACCGUAAGGUGAUGUAUAGGGGCUGACGCCUGCCCGGUGCUGGAAGGUUAAGAGGAGUGGUUAGCUUCUGCGAAGCUACGAAUCGAAGCCCCAGUAAACGGCGGCCGUAACUAUAACGGUCCUAAGGUAGCGAAAUUCCUUGUCGGGUAAGUUCCGACCCGCACGAAAGGCGUAACGAUUUGGGCACUGUCUCAACGAGAGACUCGGUGAAAUCAUAGUACCUGUGAAGAUGCAGGUUACCCGCGACAGGACGGAAAGACCCCGUGGAGCUUUACUGUAGUCUGAUAUUGAAAUUCGGCACAGCUUGUACAGGAUAGGUAGGAGCCUGAGAUGCGUGAGCGCUAGCUUACGUGGAGGCGUUGGUGGGAUACUACCCUCGCUGUGUUGGAUUUCUAA
rnacentral:rRNA from 2 species